UCCUUUUACACAAAUUGUGUACAGCGUUUUCCUCUCCUCCGUCGUCGUCUUCUUCUCUUUGAUCCAGAUCUCCUUUUCUCUCUUGUCAUACAUGUCUUCGUCCUCAGGAUUUGUUAGAUCGCUACACGAUCUAUUUUCUGAUCCAGUUGUAAGAUCUAUCUUUCCUGAAGGUUUAUAAUCACCCCUGAGGUUCCUGGAUGAUUAUUCAUCUCGUCAUCUUCCGAGUCUUCGAUUCAGAUCGUUGACCAAGGAUGAUUGUAGAGGAUUAGAGGCUGUUGAAGAGCAAUAUAAGAAAUAAUAUGAUAUAUAUCACAUGUAAUAUAGUAUAAUAUGGAUGUGUAAGAUGUCGGGGCGAAAAGGCUUCUAAAUUGAAGAGGCCGAUUGAGUCCUGAUUAAUCUUUGUCAUCCGACCUUUGCCAUGACAGGUGCGCUUGCGUGGCAGGUCACUCAUAUUUUUAAUAAAGUUAUAAGUUUUUUGGUUUCGGAGGAGAGAUCGCACGGGUAUUGCCCGGGUUCUCUUCUCCCUGUGCUGUGUCCUUCUUUCUUCUCUUCUUUCUGUACUAUUGAUGUCCAUAUUCUGUUGCUCUUCGGAUGACACAUCAACAGCAAUUGAUUCUCUCUCGCAAAAUGCAAUACCCAAAGGUAAAAUUUACAGUUUACAUCCAAUUGCUCAGUUUGAGAGUCCUCACCUUUAUGCAAUUCCUCUCAACUGCUGGGUAUUCCUGAUAGGCCUUAAAAAUUAUGUGAAUAAUAUAUCUGACAGACGAUAUAUUAAUAUUUGUCAUUCACAGUUACGCUUAGAAUUGCAAGGAGUUCAACAGAACACAUCUCACUUAUUGAUUUUCAAAGGUACAAUGGAAUUUAGUUUUACUUGUUAAAGUUACCUGCAGGCUACUUUAAUUAAUUAUAUAUAUGUUAUUAUCCAUUGACGAAGUUCAAAGCUUAAUCAUAUUUGUUUACAGUCGAAUGUGUGAAAAUUACAAUAAUUAGUUUGUUUUAGUACACAAGUAAUAUCAUAACUACAUACAUUAAUCUUCCAAGCUUCCUAGUAUACAAUUUUCCUCUCGCUUCCUUGCUUGGUGUUUCUUUUGUAUUGUACGCAUGUAGUCUUUUCUAUGGGGGCUGGCAAUUCUUCUGUACCAUUUGGGUUUGGAAGGUGAUUGAUGGAGAAGAGUUGGAUGAUAUUUGAUUCACAUAGUUUUUGAGUGGUGGAAUUAUUGAAGUCCCUCCUGAAGAGCAUUUCAACACUCCUAAAGAAUUGAUUCGCAUGGGAGCAUAAGAAGAUUCCAGAUGCUUACAAUGCACCACCACUGCAGUAGCAAGGUGUGGAAUAAAUUUUGAAGAUUGCCAGAGCUUUUUAUGUCAUUAUUCAUUUGCAGCCAGUUACUCUCAUCAAUUAAGCUUGUAAGGCUGAGUAAUGAAGUAAUUGAGGUGAUGGCAGUCAAAUCUUAUUAUUCUAAAACCAAGGCGUUGAGUUAUUCAAUCUGUAGAAGACAACUAGCUCCUCGACUUCGAUCUUUUGUUUGUUGUCGGCUCAUGAUGACAAAUUGAAGUUGAGGAGUGCACAAAGAUUAACCGACUCUUUGUUUUCAUGCACGAUGAAGCCACAUCAAAGGGAUUUUGCUCAGGAGAGAGGCGCCAGGAGGGAGAGUUUGGUGUGUUGAAGAAGGCAAUUGGCAGUUGUUUUGGUGGCAGGAAAAUGUUUGGUUUUUAGGGUUUUAAAAAAUGGACUUUGGAGACGGAAAUAUUAUUUUUAAAAACUUAAUUUAAGAGAAAUUGAUAGUUUUUAAGGUUUAAGGGGAGAAAAAAGAUAAAAUUUUAAUUUAUUAUAAGUAAAAUUGAUGAUUUUAUCUUUAAAAUUGAUUCUUUGUUUUAAAAGAUAAUGGGUGGAAAUGUGGAAAAAAAAGAUUAAAGUAUAAAUAGCAUAAUCUUUUAUUCCAGGAUUGAUAUUAAUUUUAGUGGAUGAAUCAAGUUAUGUCUGAGGGUACAAUUUUAAUUUUAUCUAAAGUUUUCAUUAUAAA